CAAUAGCGUAUAUUUAAGUUGUUGCAGUUAAAAAGCUCGUAGUUGGAUUUCGGGUGGGACGCAGCGGUCUCGCAUUGCGUUUGUACUGCUGCAGCCCUCCUUCUUGCCGGGGGCGGCCUCUCGGACUUCACUGUCUGGGGGUCAGAAUCGGCGAUGUUACUUUGAGUAAAUUAGAGUGUUCAAAGCAAGCUUACGCUCUGAAUAUAAUAGCAUGGGAUAACACGACAGGACUCUGGCCUAUCGUGUUGGUCUAUAGGACCAGAGUAAUGAUUAAGAGGGACAGUCGGGGGCAUUCGUAUUUCAUUGUCAGAGGUGAAAUUCUUGGAUUUAUGAAAGACGAACUUCUGCGAAAGCAUUUGCCAAGGAUGUUUUCAUUAA
rnacentral:rRNA from 1 species